rnacentral:misc_RNA from 1 species
UUAUGGCUUUUCAAAACAAGAAAAAAAUAGGAAAUAUAUCCUUUUCCUUUCCAGUUCAUUUUGAAGGUGGUUUGCAAUCAUGUGUCAGGGCAGAUUUGAUCAACGAAUUACUUCAGUACAUUUUAUUCGAACGUCAACAGAUUCCAUUUUCGUUUGCACAAAUUAAACGUGAAGUAACCCAAAAGGUUACAAAUGCAAAUGAGAAGGCUGUUCCUUUAAUCAGUCGUCUAGAGAUGAAGAAAGCUGUUGAUCUUGUAAACAAACUAGAAGAAACCAAACAGAAAGUUUGCCAGGCAUUCGAUAUAUGUCCGGAAAUUCACAAAGUUGCUGUUGCCAUCGGUGCCACAGCUGUGUCACCAAAAGAAAUUUUUGUGAUUCAGUUACCUCCCUUAAAUCCAGAUGCAGAUAAUUUAUCAGGCAAGGCUUGUGUGAAAUCUUUGUUCAGGCAGUUGAUUAUGCAGGAUCCAUUAGCUGAUGUUAAACAGAUUUCACCGACAAAUAUUUCGUUAUUAUUAUAUGCGCCAAGGAAAUCCAGGUUGCCAUGGUUUUAUCCAAAACCAACCUACAAGCUCCCUGUAAGAGGCAAGCAGUUUGAAUUCUGUCUUCAGAGCAAAUGUGGACAGGGAUCACACGAUUUAUCAACAGACUUUUCUGUAGUGGAAUUGUCCGGUUUUGAACCUUUUGACUCAUUUAUCGAUGAAUGUGAAGAAAUAUCUGGUAGUGUAGACACCACUUCACAUUCCAGCGAAGGUUCUGUGACUGCAGACUAUGUUUGCAUUGACUCGGAUCAUGAUCUUGAAAUAGUUAACAGCACUGAUGUUAAGGACAACUCCCCUAAUGUGACACCACAGUUUGGUAAUUCAAGUUAUAAUACAGAUAAAUCGGCAAAUACGACGCCAAAAUACUGUGCCAGUCUCAGUGAAUCUGAUACAAGAGAUAACAAAAAAUUGAGAACGUCAAGUUCCACCAGCUCAAUACUUUCCCAAACCAGUGUGAUGUCAAAGGAAUCAGAAAAUUCGGUGACUAAAAGUAAAAAACAUUGCUCAGUGAUGACCGAGGAAGAUACGGGUGUGUUCUCUCUGACUGACACAGAGUUUAUAUGGUUUCAGUCUCCAUUGUUGAUAAAAGGAUAUAGAUGUAAAACAUAGCACUCACAUUUAGAGGUUUUCAGUUACUUGUAAUGAAAUAAGUACAUUGUAGUUAAUUUAUUUAAGUCCUUGUUAAAUCUUAGCAUUUACAAAACGAUAAUUAUUUAAAAGUAAGAGCUUUUUAUUUAUAAUGUACUGGAAUCUAUUUGCAUUUUCCUAACUAUUUUUAAAGUUCAUUCCUCAGGUUAAUAAACUGUUAAGGGCUCUGGCCUCUAGAUUGUACAACAACUAAAAAAGAGAGAAAAGACAGUUGUCAGUACUAUAUUUCUGAAGAAAACUUUGAAAUUUAAUUGCUGACAGACUAUAUGUUACGGAAACACGUGAGAAUUAGUUGUUUUUACUACUUUUUUACACUGAAAGUUGAAAAGCGUUUGUAAGGCUUUACUUUUAUUCAACAGCUGUUGUUUAUCACGUUUGUAAAAUCCUUGGAAACAUACUUUUUCUUUUUUCAAUCCAGAGACUCUUAGAAGAAUAAGACUGUAUAUAAAACAGUGCUUCAAAGAAAAAUACUAUUUAUGUUCAGUGAUGCUUUAUAGUAUAAAUAUAUCUUGUUUACAAAUAAUAAUUCAUACACAAAAGUUUGAUAUAUCUUUUUUACAAAUAAUGCUUGAUACACAAGUGUUUUAUAUGCACAAAUUCAAUAGAAUAAAAUAUGCAGAUAUAUGAAAUUACUUCUUGUGAUAGAAAAAUGUACAUUUUUUGCAAAAUAAAUAGGAAUGGGAAUGAAUACUGAAAUCAAUAUUCGAAUCAAAUAUUCGGCUUGUUUUAAUGGAAGCUUUAAAUUCUUAUUAAGUGACUGGCAUAUACACAUUAUAUUCCAUUGUAUAAAACGUGAAUCAUCGUACGUUAUAAGGCCUAAAAAUGUUGUUUCGGGAUAACCUGACACCACCUAGUUGAACCCACCAACCCUAGCGUUUAAUUCACAAUUCUGUCAGUAUAAUCAUGAAUAUAUUUAACAAAUUCAGUGUCUUAGCUUCAAAAUGAUACAAAAAAACAUUCAAAUCGAUUAUAAUUUAGACCAUCGCAACUUUAUCUAAAGAUAGUAGGUUGUCCAUUUAACGUGUCACGCUGUUGUAUUACCGCCAUUUUAAAAAAUUUCAAUUGGCGUGUAAAAAGCCGAUAAAGUUAUCGAAAGAAGACUUAAACCUCCUUCAACAUGAUCUUAUGCAUCAAUCAUAUAUUAUUUCUUGAUUUGAUUUUAUUAUAAACUACCUCAAAAUUUAUUUCAGUUAUGGCCGAUUGCCCCGGCGCUGUGGAUGAAAAACGAUUCUGUGGACGGUCUGAAAUGUCACACAAAAUAUUGUGAAAAGAUCGCCAAAAUCUACAAGUUUGGUAUUGUUUUCGAAAAAAUAAUAAUUCUAAAAUCUGUUGCAUAAAACCGGCACCAAUAAAAAUGAACAAAAGAUGAAAAGGCAUCACAUUUACGCUUGUUGCAAGCUGUUAAUCCGUAAUGAUGACCCCUUCCAAUGCAAUACAAUGUUCUUGUUAAUUGGACAAUUUUUGACAUGUAUCACAUAUACGCCUAUUGCAAACUGUUAAUCUGUAGCGGUGGCCCCUGCCAAUUAUGCAUUACAAUUUUCUUGCUAAUUGGACAUCUUUUGAUACAUGAUAAACAAACAAGGCAGAACAAACAGUUUUAUUCAGCAGAUUUAGCAGGCUGAUGUUGCCCAAAAUCAGCGAUACUUAUUUUGAAAAAAAAAAAAUAUCCACUAAUUUACGUAUUAAAGAAUUUUAUUUUCAUAUUUGAAUAUUCGGCCGAUUUUCAAUAUUCUUUCCCAUCCCUAAAAAAAUGUUUCAAAGAAAAAUACAUCAUAAAAUAAAAGAUACCUUCUUUACAAAAUAUUGGUAUCGUACCACAAUAUUUCAUAUGUAUAACAUUUCAUAUGUUACCGUGUUUGUUAAUAUCCCUAAACUUUUCAUUUCUUGCUAAUGCAACUCAAAUUAAUUCUUAACUUAUUGGCAAUGUUCAUUGCAUUUAAAGGUAGCUAAAUAUGUUAUUACAAUAAGUUAUUAUGCCCCCCUUCGAAGAAGGAGGGGUAUAUUGUUUUGCAGAUGUCGGUAUGUCUGUCGGUCGGUCGGUCGGUCUGUCUGUCGGUCGGUCGGUAUGUAGACCAAUCCGUUUCCGGAUGAUA